GGUGGCUCAGUGGUAGAGCGCUUGCCUUGUAUGCAUGAGGUCCUGGGUUUGAUUCCCCAGCACCA
rnacentral:tRNA from 1 species